GGGCCAUUAGCUCAGUUGGUAGAGCAGUUGACUCUUAAUCAAUUGGUCGUAGGUUCGAUCCCUACAUGGCCCA
rnacentral:tRNA from 1 species